rnacentral:rRNA from 1 species
AAUCUUCGGAUUCUAGUGGCGGACGGGUGAGUAACGCGUAAGAAUCUAACUUCAGGACGGGGACAACAGUUGGAAACGACUGCUAAUACCCGAUGUGCCGCAAGGUGAAACCUAAUUGGCCUGAAGAAGAGCUUGCGUCUGAUUAGCUAGUUGGUGGGGUAAGAGCCUACCGAGGCGACGAUCAGUAGCUGGUCUGAGAGGAUGAGCAGCCACACUGGGACUGAGACACGGCCCAGACUCCUACGGGAGGCAGCAGUGGGGAAUUUUCCGCAAUGGGCGAAAGCCUGACGGAGCAACGCCGCGUGAGGGAGGAAGGUCUUUGGAUUGUAAACCUCUUUUCUCAAGGAAGAAGUUCUGACGGUACUUGAGGAAUCAGCCUCGGCUAACUCCGUGCCAGCAGCCGCGGUAAUACGGGGGAGGCAAGCGUUAUCCGGAAUUAUUGGGCGUAAAGCGUCCGCAGGUGGUCAGCCAAGUCUGCCGUCAAAUCAGGUUGCUUAACGACCUAAAGGCGGUGGAAACUGGCAGACUAGAGAGCAGUAGGGGUAGCAGGAAUUCCCAGUGUAGCGGUGAAAUGCGUAGAGAUUGGGAAGAACAUCGGUGGCGAAAGCGUGCUACUGGGCUGUAUCUGACACUCAGGGACGAAAGCUAGGGGAGCGAAAGGGAUUAGAUACCCCUGUAGUCCUAGCCGUAAACGAUGGAUACUAGGCGUGGCUUGUAUCGACCCGAGCCGUGCCGAAGCUAACGCGUUAAGUAUCCCGCCUGGGGAGUACGCACGCAAGUGUGAAACUCAAAGGAAUUG